GCUGGCGGCGUGGAUAAGACAUGCAAGUCGAACGAUUAUUAUCGGGUAGCAAUAUUCGGUAGUGAGAGUGGCGCAAGGGUGCGUAACGCGUGGGGAAUCUGCCUUGAAGUCUGGAAUAACUCCGAGAAAUCGGAGCUAAUACCGGAUGUGAUUAUCGGAGGGCAUCUUCUGAUACUCAAAGUUGGGGACCGUAAGGCCUGACGCUUUAAGAUGAUCCCGCGACCUAUCAGCUAGUUGGUGAGGUAACGGCUCACCAAGGCUAAGACGGGUAGCUGGUCUGAGAGGACGACCAGCCACACUGGAACUGAGACACGGUCCAGACACCUACGGGUGGCAGCAGUCGAGAAUUCUUCUCAAUGGGGGAAACCCUGAAGGAGCGACGCCGCGUGGGGGAUGAAUGGCUUCGGCCCGUAAACCCCUGUCAUUUGCGAUCAAACCUUACGUUUUAAUAAAGCGUAAGCUGAUAGUAGCGGAAGAGGAAGGGACGGCUAACUCUGUGCCAGCAGCCGCGGUAAUACAGAGGUCCCAAGCGUUGUUCGGAUUCACUGGGCGUAAAGGGUGCGUAGGCG
rnacentral:rRNA from 1 species